ensembl:lncRNA
AUGGCGCCGACGGGGGUGCCAGUGCUGCAGAGGCUUCGUUACUCCCGCUUGUUCGGCCAGGCCGCUCAGUUCCUCCUCGGUGGCGGCGGCUGUGGCUCCCCUCCUUGUCUCGCUUGGCCCCCUCCUUCGCCGCGGCCGCCGCUUAGCCCUCCUCUCCCUUGCCACAUUGGGAUCCUCCCCUCUGCCUGCGCUGGGCCAGCUGGCGCCAGAGCUAGGCAAGAGGCCUCUGCGCCUUCCUGCCAAAUAGUGAGCCGCUCCAAGCACGCGGCCCCGCCUUCCUCCGUCCUGUGGAGCGCAGGCGCACUUGGCGAGUUGAACUGCGACAGGGAGAGCGAAAGCCACAGCGAUCGGCUCGGCUCGGCUCCUCGCUCGCUCACCUCUCCCUCAGUUUUGGAAACGCGAGUGCGCUUGCGUGGCCGAUGCUUAGCACCUCAGUUGGAGGAGGGGGAGGGGGAUGUACAACUUCUCGUACUCUCUCUCCGUUCGUCAAGAAGGCUGCGCAGCUGGGUGUGGGGAUGGGGAAGGAGCCUCUGGCGCCGGAGAUACGCUUGCUCCUAUGCGCCUGCUGCAGUGGUUACUAUAGGAAACGGUGCCCGUAGGCUCCGUGAAAAAAAUCCAGAAAGUAACUUCGCAUCAACGCCUGCCUGCCUGGUGACUGUUUUCCAAAGGAGCGAUGCAAUUGCUCUCCAUGAGACAAACUCUUUCAGGAGGACAUUCCUGGCCUAGCUGUUGAAUUGAAUGAAGCUGUCCAAUACUGCUUGCAACACUGAAAGGGCCAUACCUUGCUUGUAGAGCAUCUGCUUUUCAUAUGAAAUCCCCAAGUUCAAUCCCUGGCAUCUUCAGAAUUCCUUUAACAAUUUGAGAGCAAAUUGUAAACAUAUACAGAUGGAUAAAAAAGAAUCUUUUAAGUAUACUGUACAGCAGUGUUUCAACUUUUUUCCGACCAUGACCCCUUUCCGACCUUGUUUCCUUUCUGUGCCCCCCCGCCGUCUUACUGGGUGUGCACAGCGGUGGAGUACAAAAGAGGGAGGGAGAAGGAAGCCCCCUGGGCCCCCUUGGAAUAUCCCCUGGUUGAGAAAUGCUGCUCUACAGUAUAUAAUUCAUUACUAUAGGUGCUUUUGAAAGAGCAGGUUACCGUCUUGAAUCAUUGCCUUGCAUAAUCUUAAACCUGUAUUGUGAUAAGCUAAGGUAGUGGUUGUUUUCUAAAUAUUAAGCCUAGCUGGCAAUUUUCAUAUAAACAGAACAACUUAAACCUGUGAAUGUCCCAUAAAUAUUCUUUAGUGCAACUUUCUGAUUUAUGACAAAAUUAAAGAAGUAACUUUUCUUACAAUGGGAAGUCCAUACUAUACCGACUGAGAUCAGAAAUAUGCACAGAGUACCAUAGUAAGCACUAACUCAACAGCCAACCAAAGCAGAUGUACUGAGGGCAACUCUAGUGUUUUUAGACCCCUUCCCUGGUGAUAGCUAUGUCCCUAACCUUAGCUAUCCAACUCUUAAAAAAAAAACUUGUUGAAACAAUCUUAAAGACUUUUAUUUUUCCUAAGUUUUAACCAGCAUUUAUAUUAAGCAACGGUACUUAAUAUGUAUCAUUGUCUUGUGAGUGUCCUGCUGGACUCUAGUCAGUUGACAGUGAUGUUUUGGCAAUUUAAAAGUGCCCGCCUGGUUCCUCCCUUCUGGGGAAAUAAACCUUUUCUGUGGCAGUGACCUGUCUGUGAA